GACGAACGCUGGCGGCGUGGAUUAGGCAUGCAAGUCGAACGGUAUCAUCCUUUCGGGGGUGAGAGAGUGGCGAACUGGUGAGUAACACGUAGGUUAUCUACCCUCAAGACGGGGACAACCCAGGGAAACUUGGGCUAAUACCGGAUGUGAGCAACUUUUAGUUGUUUGAAAGGUGGCGUAAGCUGUCGCUUGGGGAUGAGCCUGCGUCCUAUUAGUUAGUUGGUGAGGUAACGGCUCACCUAGGCAAUGAUAGGUAGGCGGCCUUAACGGGUGGUCGCCCACACUGGGAUUGAGAUACGGCCCAGACUCCUACGGGAGGCAGCAGUCGAGAAUAGUCUACAAUGGUCGGAAGACUGAUAGUGCGACGCCGCGUGAACGAUGAAUCCUUCGGGUGUAAAGUUCUUUUAUAUGUGAGCAGUGCUUCUUAUAUUAACAGUAUGGGGAGAGAGAUAUUAGCAUAUGAAUAAGCAACGGCUAACUCCGUGCCAGCAGCCGCGGU
rnacentral:rRNA from 1 species